UAGGGAAUCUUCCACAAUGGACGCAAGUCUGAUGGAGCAACGCCGCGUGAGUGAAGAAGGUUUUCGGACCGUAAAGCUCUGUUGUUGGUGAAGAAGGAUAGAGGUAGUAACUGGCCUUUAUUUGACGGUAAUCAACCAGAAAGUCACGGCUAACUACGUGCCAGCAGCCGCGGUAAUACGUAGGUGGCAAGCGUUGUCCGGAUUUAUUGGGCGUAAAGCGAGCGCAGGCGGAAGAAUAAGUCUGAUGUGAAAGCCCUCGGCUUAACCGAGGAAUUGCAUCGGAAACUGUUUUUCUUGAGUGCAGAAGAGGAGAGUAGAACUCCAUGUGUAGCGGUGGAAUGCGUAGAUAUAUGGAAGAAUACCAGUGGCGAAGGCGGCUCUCUGGUCUGCAACUGACGCUGAGGCUCGAAAGCAUGGGUAGCGAACAGGAUUAGAUACCCUGGUAGUCCAUGCCGUAAACGAUGAGUGCUAAGUGUUGGGAGGCUUCCGCCUCUCAGUGCUGCAGCUAACGCAUUAAGCACUCCGCCUGGGGGAGUACGA
rnacentral:rRNA from 1 species